rnacentral:rRNA from 1 species
UACAGAGGUCUCAAGCGUUGUUCGGAUUCAUUGGGCGUAAAGGGUGCGUAGGCGGCGCGGUAAGUCGGGUGUGAAAUUUCGGAGCUUAACUCCGAAACUGCAUUCGAUACUGGCGUGCUUGAGGACUGGAGAGGAGACUGGAAUUUACGGUGUAGCAGUGAAAUGCGUAGAGAUCAUGAGGAAGACCAGUGGCGAAGGCGGGUCUCUGGACAGUUCCUGACGCUGAGGCACGAAGGUCAGGGGAGCAAACGGG